rnacentral:tRNA from 1 species
GAUUAAAUGGCUGAAGUUUAGGCGAUAAAUUGUAAAUUUAUUUAUGGGAGAUAUCUCUUUAAUCA